rnacentral:tRNA from 1 species
CAGGGAGACAAAAAAUAGAUUGUGAUGUCUGAGUGAAUUAUUCUUAGACCACGAUCCUGUCACCUUAGGUCGAUCGGUACCUCAGAUUUAUGUCGUAAAAAACUAAUUACUAGUCUCUUUGGCAUUAAUUUUAGUUCCUAAACUUUGUCUAGGUCACACCCAGCAAGGGUACUCCUGGGCCAUUAGCUCAGGUGGUUAGAGCGCACCCCUGAUAAGGGUGAGGUCCCUGGUUCAAGUCCAGGAUGGCCCAUUCGAUGUUGGGGGUAUAGCUCAGUUGGUAGAGCGCCUGCUUUGCAAGCAGGAUGUCAGCGGUUCGAGUCCGCUUACCUCCACUGAUUAACUAACUCCUUAAUAAUGAAAUCAAGGAUAUUUUUGCUGUAUGUGAUUUUGACUUUUGUUUUAUCUGAACGACCCUAGCUUCCUAUCAUUCUUAAUCUAAUUACAAAGUAGAUUCAAGUUGGCAGGACGCUGGGCUCACUGCACUUCGAUAGAAAUGCAGAUGAUUUUCAGUAGAACCUUGACAACUGCAUAGGUAAGUCUGGAAAAAAUAAAGCAUCUCAUGGAUGCAUUAUUUCCUUUAUUAAUGAAUAAUAAGUAUUGCUAUUGCAAUGUUUUUAUUCUUACUUAAAAGAGUGAUGUUUAAUUCUUGAGCAAGAGCCGAGACUCUAUAACUUAUUAAUUUGGUUAUAGAGAUAAUUU